UACGGGGGGGGCAAGCGUUGUUCGGAAUUACUGGGCGUAAAGGGCUCGUAGGCGGCCAACUAAGUCGGAUGUGAAAUCCCCAGGCUUAACCUGGGAACUGCAUCCGAUACUGGAUGGCUUGAAUCCGGGAGAGGGAUGCGGAAUUCCAGGUGUAGCGGUGAAAUGCGUAGAUAUCUGGAGGAACACCGGUGGCGAAGGCGGCUUUCUGGACAGAUACCGACGCUGAGGCACGAAAGCGUGGGGAGCAAACAGG
rnacentral:rRNA from 1 species